UACGGAGGGUGCAAGCGUUAUCCGGAUUCACUGGGUUUAAAGGGUGCGUAGGUGGGCAGGUAAGUCAGUGGUGAAAUCCUGUAGCUUAACUACAGAACUGCCAUUGAUACUAUCUGUCUUGAAUACCCUGGAGGUGAGCGGAAUAUGUCAUGUAGCGGUGAAAUGCUUAGAUAUGACAUAGAACACCAAUUGCGAAGGCAGCUCGCUACGGGAAUAUUGACACUGAGGCACGAAAGCGUGGGGAUCAAACAGG
rnacentral:rRNA from 1 species